rnacentral:rRNA from 1 species
AGUGAACGCUGGCGGUAGGCCUAACACAUGCAAGUCGAACGGCAGCACAGUAAGAGCUUGCUCUUACGGGUGGCGAGUGGCGGACGGGUGAGGAAUACAUCGGAAUCUACUUUUUCGUGGGGGAUAACGUAGGGAAACUUACGCUAAUACCGCAUACGACCUACGGGUGAAAGCAGGGGAUCUUCGGACCUUGCGCGAUUGAAUGAGCCGAUGUCGGAUUAGCUAGUUGGCGGGGUAAAGGCCCACCAAGGCGACGAUCCGCACCUGGUCUGAGAGGAUGAACAGCCACACUGGAACUGAGACACGGUCCAGACUCCUACGGGAGGCAGCAGUGGGGAAUAUUGGACAAUGGGCGCAAGCCUGAUCCAGCCAUACCGCGUGGGUGAAGAAGGCCUUCGGGUUGUAAAGCCCUUUUGUUGGGAAAGAAAAGCAGCAGGUUAAUACCCCGCUGUUCUGACGGUACCCAAAGAAUAAGCACCGGCUAACUUCGUG